rnacentral:ncRNA from 13 species
GUCACGAUAGCUCAAAUGGUAGAGCAGUGGCUUAUUUAGCCAAAGGUCGUGGGUUCGAAUCCCGCUCGUGACA